rnacentral:misc_RNA from 1 species
AAAUAUUUUUCAGAAAACAAUGCAGUAUUGUGGUGGAGAAAAAAUUUUAGUUUUGUGUGUCUAAAUCAAAAUAAAUCAAAGAAUUGCAUUAACGUUUUGAUUCAGACAUUUUUGACUACAAAAUCUGAUAUCCAAAAUGGUUCUUCCUGUAUCUGUGUACAAUGCUCUGCUUACACUCUUCGACAUGGUUCUCUUAGGCCUCCAGAUUAUUUACUUCAUAUUGGAGGCAGCAUAUGAGUCCAUCAUACCACGAAAGGAGAAGGAGCUACAAGGCGAGGUUGCUGUUGUGACCGGAGGCGGACAUGGUAUCGGACUGGAGCUAGUUAGACAAUUAUCAGAUCUUGGUGUAAAAGUGGCAGUUUGGGAUAUAAAUGGACAAACUGCAAAUUUAGCAGUUAAAGAAAUAGAAAAGAAAGGAGGUUUGGGGCUUCCACUGACUGUAGAUGUUUCUGAUAGGGAGAGUAUUCGUCGUGCCGUUGAUAAAACAAGAUCUGAACUGGGAGAAGUUACUUUACUCUUUAACAACGCCGGAAUCAUGCCCUGCAAACCUUUCUUAAACCAUAGUGGAGCAGAAAUCCAGAAAAUAUUCGAGGUGAAUGUUUUCUCUCAAUACUGGACGCUCAUGGAGUUCCUGCCCAGGAUGAUAAGUUUGAACCGAGGCCACAUAAUCUCCAUGUCCUCCAUGGCUGGGAUUACAGGUACACCCAACCUUGUACCGUACUGUUCAAGCAAGUUUGCCGUCAAGGGACUUAUGGACGCUCUCUUUUUAGAACUCAGAUCUACACAUCCUGACACCAACGUGAAACUAACAACAAUUCAUCCUUUUGUAGUUGACACUGGUCUCGCACAGAAACCAAGGUCUCGGUUUGAGAGUAUAAUACCGAUAUAUAAAUGAAUCAUAUAAAUAAUGUUUCAUAAAAGAACUCGGUUUGAGAGCUUAAUACCGAUAUAUAAAUGAAUUAUAUAAUAAUAUAAAUGAUGUUUGAUUGCAGGUCUCGGUUUGAGAGUAUAAUACCGAUAUUUAAAUGAAUUAUAUAAAAAUAUAAAUGUUUGAUUGCAGGUCUCGGUUUGAGAGUAUAAUACCGAUAUAUAAAUGAAUCAUAUAAUAAUAUAAAUGAUGUUUGAUUGCAGGUCUCGGUUUGAGAGUAUAAUACCGAUAUAUAAAUGAAUUAUAUAAUAAUAUAAAUAAUGUUUGAU